AGAGCCAAUCGGGGCUUUCCUUCCUCUAAAGCUGCCCACCCCACCCUCCAUCCACUGUCAACAGAGACAUCUGCCUGUAUAGAGAGAUUGUGUCUAAGACAUGUCAUGGAAGAGGAACAAGUUGUACCUGACAAGACUGAGACUGAGGUGAAAGUAGAUUUACAACUGACAGGCUACAAGAAUGACACGGAAAAGAAUGUUACACUGGACAUGCAAAAGAAACCAAAUGAUGUUUUAAUAAUUAAAAGAGCUAUACAAACCAUGAGCUAAAAUAA